GAUCGGCUCUAUUCAAGUGUAUUGUGACAGUUGCGCAAGGUAAAGAUUUAUUAGUGAUUGUUUGUGUUUCUUGAUAUUCACAGUUGCAGCUCGUUACAUCAAAAAUCUUCAAGUAUUCAAGUUCUUCCAAGCAGCCAAACUGGAAAACUUAAUGUGCGAAAAACAGGAGUGGAACACUUCUGUUUUUGACGAAAUGAAUAGCUUCUUGAUAAAGGAGCAAAGCCUCUCAGUGGACGCAUGGCAUUAUUUCAUUAUCGUCGGUAUGAUCUUCAUUAUAUACGUGUUUUUAUUUAUUUACCACUAAAUUAAUAAUCUUCCUACAAAAAAAAAUAUGACUCCCCUAACAUAUAAAAGUAGUCAAAUGCAAUUCCCAUAAGAUAUUUCUAUUUA